AAGCUUGUGCAGUGGCAGUAUCAUAGCCAAUGAGGUUUAUCUGAGGCACAGUUAUUGCUAAUUGAAACAGGACCUCACCAUGUAGCCCUAGGCUAGACUCCAACUUAUGAUCCUCCUGCCUCAGCCUCCCAAGACUCUGGAAUUAUAGACAUGUGCCACCCUGC
rnacentral:snRNA from 1 species